GGAGCAAGGGCGCGAGCAGAGUCGUCAGGGAUCUUCAGCCAAUUUUGCCUGCUGCUAGGACAAGACAAGACAUUAUAAGAUUGGGAUCCAUGACCCUCAGUCCUAAUCAAUUCAAGGAGGCAGUGGAACCCCUAUAUGUACUGUUAGCAGCAAAGCGGUGUGUGCAGAUUGAUUCUGUGGAGAAAGAUCCCGUGAUUCUAGAUUUGCAAGAUGUCCACUCAACUACUGGGCCCCUAGGCACCGGAAUUGCCGAACAAUCCACCAUGCAGAGA